GAUGAACGCUAGCGGCAGGCCUAACACAUGCAAGUCGAACGGUAACAGGAAAUAGCUUGCUAUUUUGCUGACGAGUGGCGCACGGGUGCGUAACGCGUAUACAAUCUACCUUUUACAGGGGUAUAGCCUUUAGAAAUGAAGAUUAACACCCCAUAGUAUCUAGAGAUCGCAUGGUUUUUAGAUUAAAAUUUCGGUGGUAAAAGAUGAGUAUGCGUUCUAUUAGCUAGAUGGUGUGGUAACGGCACACCAUGGCAACGAUAGAUAGGGGCCCUGAGAGGGGGAUCCCCCACACUGGUACUGAGACACGGACCAGACUCCUACGGGAGGCAGCAGUGAGGAAUAUUGGACAAUGGGCGAGAGCCUGAUCCAGCCAUGCCGCGUGCAGGAAGACUGCCCUAUGGGUUGUAAACUGCUUUUAUAUAGGAAGAAACCUUUCCACGUGUGGAAAGCUGACGGUACUAUAAGAAUAAGGAUCGGCUAACUCCGUGCCAGCAGCCGCGGUAAUACGGAGGAUCCAAGCGUUAUCCGGAAUCAUUGGGUUUAAAGGGUCCGUAGGUGGAUGAUUAAGUCAGAGGUGA
rnacentral:rRNA from 1 species